AUACGUAGGGAGCGAGCGUUGUCCGGAAUUACUGGGCGUAAAGGGCGCGUAGGCGGCGCUUCAAGUCGUCUGUCAAAUGGGAGGGCUUCACCCUUUUUCGCAGACGAAACUGGAGAGCUUGAGAAGCAGAGAGGCAAACAGAAUUCCUGGUGUAGCGGUGAAAUGCGUAGAUAUCAGGAAGAAUACCAGUGGCGAAGGCGGUUUGCUGGCUGCAUACUGACGCUGAAGCGCGAAAGCCAGGGGAGCAAACGGGAUUAGAUACCCCGGUAGUCCUGGCAGUAAACGAUGUAUGCUGGGUGUGAGACUAGCGAUAGUUUCGUGCCGAAGUUAACGCGAUAAGCAUACCGCCUGGGGAGUACGGUCGCAAGAUUGAAACUCAAAUGAAUUGACGGGG
rnacentral:rRNA from 1 species